ACAAACAUGGCCAGAUUCUGUACUGUUGAACCUAUGUCACCUUGCUGAAGGCCAUGGGUAUAGCUGAAGGCAGAAUUUGGCUCAUUCAAUUUAAUGAUCAUGUUGACACACAAUUUUAAGAUUAAAUGGCAUUGUGUAAUUCAUUACUAGUUAAAAUGCUAGUUUCAUGACAGGAUAAUUUAACCCCAGAGUCAGUGCAGAAACCCCUGCAGUCAAACAAAAUUAAGAACAAUAAGUUAAGAACAGGAAAAAAUGAGUUUAUGCUAAGAAAAAAAUACAAAGAUGCAGUAUGCUAUGUUAGAUGUUUAACUAUACAUAAGAGACAGGUGUCACAAAAACAAACAAACAAAAAUCAUGAAGUCAAAGAGAAACUUUAACUCACCAGUUUCCAUCUGUUAAAUCUGAAUCUAUGCAUAAUUGAUUAUCCAUGACUGGUAAGUUCUUCUUUUCCUAGCCUAACAUUCCAUUAAACAGUUUUUGAAAAACAGUAAGGACAGAAUAAAAAAAUUUUUAAAUGAAAAAUUACGUAUCAGUUAAUAAUAUAGCUGACCUGUGUUUGAGAAUUUUAAUAAUGUGAAUCUUAAAUAGUAAUAACUUAUUCUGUUAUUGUUAUAGUAUGGUUAAAAGCUUCUCCAUGCUUAAGGAAAGAGGAAAAGUAGGAAUAUGUAACAGUGUGUGUGUGUGGGGGGGGGGAGAUACAGAAAGAUGAGAAGCAGAGACAUAAGGAAAAUGUGUCAACAAUAAACAAGAGGAAAUGAGAAAGAAGGAAAAGAUGAAGGUGGAAACUAAUCUCUGUGUGUCAUUAUGACUGCCAGAGUACUGGCAAAGCAGCAGCAUCCUUUUAUUUCAAUUUUAAUCAUUUCUGAAUUUUAAUACCCUGCUCCUUUUGUAAUUCUCCUGGCAUUCCCCAUAUGCAUCCAUCCCAGCCAAAACACCAGUGUAAAUUAAAUGGCACACAACCACACUACUUAUGUAGCUUUCCCAAAAGAACCAAUCGGGUGACCAAAAGCAGAAAAGGUAUGUCUACCUUGUGUCCCUGUGGAUGGCUAGCCAAUUAACUGACUUAAUGUUCCCCACUUUCUUUAAUUUUGAAAAGAAGGGCAGUGGUUAAGUAACCUAGUAAUACAGAAUCAUUAAAUAAAUAAAUAAAUAAAUAAAUAAAGCAAGCCAGUAGUAAUACAAUAAUCAGUGACCAUCAGGGCCUGGAAAAAUGAGUUUGCUCUCACUGGCACUAAGGAGCAUCACAUGAUUAUUUAAUUACAGCUCUAAUUUUUGUCUUGUGGAUGGCAACAUAUCAACAAUUAAUAGGGCAAAUAGAGGAGACUGCAUUUUUAAAGAGACAGAACCUAUAAAAUACUCCUUGGAAAUACAGUAUGUCAAACAGUAAAAUGCUGCUUGAGGAAUCUCUAUCUUUGUGUCACACAAAUAGCUGUUUAACUAUGCAACAAAUAUAUUAAAAAUAUCAACUCUGCAGGUAUAACUUUAUUAGAUGGUAUCUGAAAGCAUUUUUCAGAAUAGUCAACAAUAAUAAGCUUGUUUCUCACAGGAUAAAUCACCCAAAUACAGCAUUUAAUGGAAUCACAAGUCCAAUAAAUGAAAAUGUUGUUAUAAAAUGAACACAUCCUUUAUUUUAAAAAAGUACUACAGUAUUCUGCAGUAAUUAUAGCGAGGAUUAUAGUCUUCAGUAAGCCAAAUUAAAUAUUACAUCGGCAGUGGGACUUAAAUAGGAGAUUUUCUUACAGAGAGUACUGAAUUAGGUUCAGUAGCAAUACUGCCGUGGUUGGGUCUAUUCAUGAAAAAUGCUGUAGCAUUGUUCUUGUUUUUAAUCAUAGAAAACAUACCUAUGAUCUAAGCACCCACUUUUGCCCUCAGUUACGCAUGUGCAGUUCCCAUUAUACCUGAUCCUGCUAGUAAUCUCAAUGCAAAACAACCAUUGGCAACUAUGCUGAGUUCUGCAUAUGGAACACUUACAUUAUUGGGAUCACAGUAAUCAGUGUAACCUGGACACACAUUGGAGGGGGGAAACUGGCACUAGGUAAAUAUAUUAUUUUGCUUAUGAUGAUAGUCAUUUUCUAUAGCUUCUGGUAGUCCAAAUCACUGGUCACAAAUAUUUAUUAUAUAGAAUGUAUUUCAGGCAAUAAUAGUAUUUAAGAGCUAAUGCUGGAAAAUAAGAUUCUAAAUGUCAUGUCAUAUACGUUAAAAAAAUAAAAACAAAACAAAAGACCACCCACCACACUACAAUUAGAUUAUUAUUAUUGAGUCUGUCUACUCAAUAUGCAAUGAAAAUAAUUUUUCUUAAAAAGUUUUAAAAAAUGCCUGUAAGGAUAUUUGAUUUGAAUGGGCAAAGACAUAUAUGAAUUGUUUCCAUGUACAAGACUGGGAAAGAAAAUAAAACUGGUAAACAAUUUUUAAGUAUUACUUAAAUAAACGAAAGUGUUAACAACUUUUUCAAAUUUUUUUUUAAAUUAAGUUGAGUUGUUUUGACUGAAGUCAUGAAAAUUCUGGAUUGAAGAUCUGAAUCUAUAAUCUUAAAAAGAAGGUUGGCAAGCAAGAGCCUGCAUAACUUCAUCUACUGUUACGGAGAUUGUACACCCUGAUGGAGGGCUUGUAGAACCAUUAAAAAGUCAACAUUUGCCAACUGGUAAACAGAUAUUACUUAUAUCCGAUACACAGUAACUGUUGGUAAACACCUACUUUUUAAAAAUGGCCAUUGCAUAUCCUUUUUGUUGUAACAAUUACAAACUGUGGUACAUUGUUGGUUAGAAUUAGAGUUGUUAGUACCAUACAUAUGGAAGAGGACGUAUACCUUUAAUUUAAUAUUAAAUGUAGUAAGUUUAUAACUUGUUUUGAACAAAGGGGACCUCAGCGGCAAAGAUUAGAUGCAGAACACCCUGAUAGUAUCAGAGGGGUAGCCGUGUUAGUCUGAAUCUGUAAAAAGCAACAGAGGGUCCUGAUAGUGAAUUUAAUGGUAUUCUCUUCAAAGUGUAAGCUGUUUUUACUAAUGUUAUCUACAGGUUAGCAGUCAGGUAAUGAAACAAAGUUUAAAAAUAACAAUGGAAUUUUCUGAGGUAGGAAACAGACUUUUUAAGAAGUUGCAAAAUUUAAGUAGAAGUACCACAAGUUCUUAUUUAACAAUCAAACUGGAAUAUAGGUUGUUUUGAUUUUUUAAAUAAUGUACAGCAACUUUGUAACAACUAAAGUUUAAAAAUGCAUUAGAUUGCAUAGUGAAAGAGUUGCAGAACAUUUUUCAUCAUACACACAUCUGUGUUCUCAGUUAUUAAUAAAAUGCUUCUGCCCUUAUUUGCAGUUGUCUGAAUAUACAAUCUAAGUGGCUCGGUAGGCAUAUAUUCUUAAGGAAUGAUGUUUUCACUGUUUGAAACACAACUCAAGAAUGCUAGGCAAAACUGAAUACGGUUUCUUUAAAACUGGCUUCUGCAUGCCACAGAAAGCAUAUCUGGAAUGAUAACAAAACUUUUCUUUUUCAAACAAGGAAGAGUCAGCUGCCAUGGAUAACACCGCAGGUAGAUAUUAAAAUGGAGACAGAACAAUUAUUUAGUGGCAACAAGAAUAUAAAUACAUGCACUAACCUAUAAACUGGUAUUUACUUCAGGAAAAUAAGUAAUAUUUUCCCUCUGAUUGCAGUGCUGUCAGUUUAAUGCAGCGUAAAUAAACAGUAGGUGCAUGAUAGCUUUAAGUAGAAAGUGUUCACUCCACAAGAGGAGCAGAUUACUAAAGCCUGAUGCCCAUAAUGGCAAAAACAGAACUUCCAUUUUACCAGAAAAAUAUGUUUUCUCAUACUAAGUGAUUAAUAGCUUUUCUAUUAAAUCAGUUUGUCAAAAUUCUAUGAAAAAUGCUAUAAAAUCAAACAACUUUAGCAAAAACAUUUAUUUUAGCAGCCCUAAAUUUAAAUAAUUAAAAAAGUAAAAAAUGCUCUUCUAUAAUUUUAUCAUCCCGCUCUAAAUGACCACUUCAUAUCAUCAUCCCAGUAUAGCAAAAAUAAAAUAAAAUGAUAUAUGGAACUGCCUAUACUUUCAGUUUUUUUCUCCUUGUAUUCCCUGACUGAAAAUCAAAGUUUCCUCUUUGGAAAAAGCAAUGAUUUCUAAGGAGAUUGUAUAUACACCCUACAUCUAUUAACAUAAAUUAAAAAACUAAAAUGUUCCACUUAUGUUUAAAACUGUUCUAGAAGGAAAGUUUGUGGUGUUAUUAGAUAUUUAAUAAAUAUAUCUAGAGAAAGCCAUGGCAGGUAUGCAUAAGAGGGUUAUAAAACUCUGCAGUAGUAUAUAUGCUAAAAUAGAAUAUUCCUUAGAAACAUGACUGAAAUAUUUAAAAAAAAAAAAAAACACAUUUCCCCCAUUAUUAAUAGAGAUAUUUAAGUAGCCUGGAAUGUUGUGUUAUCUUGAACAACAAUUUCUCUGUAAUCCAAGUGCAAAAUGUUAAUAUAUUUAUCAAUCAAUUAAAUUAAUAAAAUUUACUAAUCUGUUUGUCUCCCUCCCCCAAUACAACUAGAAAGCAUAACAAGAAUUUCACUUUAAUCUUAUGGUAUUCAGUUAAAAAAAAUCUGGCAAACAGCUGUAUUUCAACAAAUGUAUUCCUUGACUGAAAUAAAAUUUUCCUCUAAUUUAAAAUAUCAAAUUAAAUUUUUUUUAAAUAAUGCUGAACUAUAUUGAAGAUUGCAAAAAUUGAAGUCCUAUGCAUUUAAUCCCUUCUCCAACAAAAAUAUUAAUGUAAUAUAAGUUGUAGUUAUCCAUGACUUGACUACAUGAAAGAGAGACACUUCUGUGGUUUGAAAGGGCACACCUGCCUACAUCCCUUUGGGAUUUUAUAUUACUGAAUUACUAUGGUACUUUGAAGACAGUACAUUGUAUUUAGUUUAGUACUAGUUUAGUACUAUUUAUAACCAAAGGAUCUCUAUAAUAAUAAGGGACAGGUGCUUAUCAGCUGACCUUCUGGGCCUACAUUGCAAACCAUAACUUGUUAAGAUCAAAAUGAUUACUGCAAGCUUUGGCUAAAUUGGGAGCUUCUCUCUUUCUUCCUGUUCUGCAAAUCAACAUAUACCAUUAAUGAAUCUCAGGCUGACUUUACCCACUUUAUAUUUCUUUCUCAGAAAUAAGCAGUAUUUAAGUACUUAUCCUUAGAUAAGUCUUGUUGAAAGAACAGGAGAAGAGAAGGAGGAACUGUUUUGGUUGUUACUUUGCUAUUUAAUGAUUCAAGAACAAAGAAUAUUAAAAAGAAACUAACUUUUAAAAAAAUGCAUGAACAAAAAGCAUUCCACUUAAAUAUUUUUGUCCCAGUAAAGUCAUUUUGCAUACAAAGAACUAUUAUUUAAUUACACAUUUGCACUUGUAGGGAAAAGGAGGAAUGCACUGCUUCCAGAAGG